AUGGCAGUGGGUGGAAGUAGUGUGUGUAAUACGUAUGGGGCAGGGGGGAAUCGGAGUGACAUGGAGUAAAGCGUGGGCAGGCGGGUUUGUAAGUCUGAAGUGAGAUGCCCGGGCUGAAACUGAGAAGUGCGUUGGAGACUGCAAGGUGGGAAUCGGGCAGAGGGGGGUAGAAGUCGACGUGUAGCAGUGAAAUGCGUAGAGAUGGGGAGGAACACCGAUGGCGAAGGCAGCCCCCUGGGUCAAGAUUGACGCUCAUGCACGAAAGCGUGGGGAGCAAACAGGAUUAGAUACCCCGGUAGUC
rnacentral:rRNA from 1 species